GGAGAAAUGAGAUUGAGUCAGAACGUUGGACAGCGCAUGGCAGUCGCCGAGGUGAGAAAACACAGAAGUUACAAUUCUGCUACCAUCAACAACGACAUUGCCAUUUUGACAUUUACCACACAACCAACAGAGGGCAGCAACGUCAUGCCAGCUUGUAUGCCAUCAAGGGACCACGGCGUCAAUGAGUUGUCUUACGUCACUGGCUGGGGUACCACAUCUGAGGGUGGAUCUACUACAGACCGAUUGAUGGAGGUCUCCAAACCUAUCUUGGCAGACUCUGCAUGUAGUUCCUACCUCGGAACUUCCUACAAAAGUGCCACCAUGUUGUGCGCUGGUUUCGCCGAGGGUGGUGCCGAUGCUUGCCAGGGAGAUUCUGGCGGACCAUUGGUUGCUCAGAGAAACGGCAUUUGGGAAUUGGCUGGUGUGGUCAGCUGGGGAUACGGCUGUGCUCGCCCAGAGCUUCCCGGUGUAUAUGCCGAUACCUGGAACUUUGUUUCGUGGAUUCAAGCAAACUGGAGCUAAUGUACUUACUUUAUUUAUUUAACAAAAAGAGAAGAAAAAGAAAAUUUC
rnacentral:misc_RNA from 1 species